UACGUAGGUGGCAAGCGUUGUCCGGAAUUAUUGGGCGUAAAGCGCGCGCAGGCGGUCCUUUAAGUCUGAUGUGAAAGCCCACGGCUCAACCGUGGAGGGUCAUUGGAAACUGGGGGACUUGAGUACAGAAGAGAAGAGUGGAAUUCCACGUGUAGCGGUGAAAUGCGUAGAGAUGUGGAGGAACACCAGUGGCGAAGGCGACUCUUUGGUCUGUAACUGACGCUGAGGCGCGAAAGCGUGGGGGAGCAAACAGG
rnacentral:rRNA from 1 species